rnacentral:lncRNA from 1 species
UGAACCAAAUCUAGAUGCACUUAACCAUAAAUUUAUAAGAUUUUCACUGAAACACUAGAUUGAAUUCAUUAGUAAACAUAAGAUAUACUCAAAUGCUUUGAGUUCAUCAAAAUCAAAUAGGGUUAUGAUCAAUCACUCCACAAUCUCCCCCUUUUUGAUGAUGACAAAACAUUGAGUAUAUGUAAAGUGAAUUGCACAACAAACAAGGAAAUUUAUAAUAAAAUUUUUGAAAUGAAUUCAAGUGUCU